UACGUAGGGGGCAAGCGUUGUCCGGAAUUAUUGGGCGUAAAGAGCGCGUAGGCGGUCCGAUAAGUCGGCUGUGAAAGUCAGGGGCUCAACCCUUGAAAGCCGGCCGAUACUGUCGGACUAGAGUCCGGAAGAGGCAAGUGGAAUUCCCGGUGUAGCGGUGAAAUGCGCAGAUAUCGGGAGGAACACCAAUGGCGAAGGCAGCUUGCUGGGACGGUACUGACGCUGAGGCGCGAAAGUGUGGGGAUCAAACAGG
rnacentral:rRNA from 1 species